rnacentral:rRNA from 1 species
AAAUACGCACUCCGCGCGUCCUUACCGCGGUGAGUAAGCCAUUUGAAACUGCUAUGUAGGCUUGAAGUCUAAGGAGAGGGAAGAGCUGGAAUUCCUGGUGUAGGCAGGUGAAAUCGCGUAGAUAUCAGGAGAGAACAUCAGUGGCGAAGGCGGACCUUCUGGACWKACAUUGACGCUGAGGURCGAAAGYGUGGGGAGCAAACAGGAUUAGACACCCUGGUAGUCCACRCCGUAAACGAUGAACACUAGAUGCCGG